rnacentral:rRNA from 1 species
UACGUAGGGUGCGAGCGUUGUCCGGAAUUAUUGGGCGUAAAGGGCUCGUAGGCGGUCAGUCGCGUCUGCUGUGAAAACUCGGGGCUUAACUCCGGGCCUGCAGUGGGUACGGGCUGACUAGAGUGCGGUAGGGGAGACUGGAAUUCCUGGUGUAGCGGUGAAAUGCGCAGAUAUCAGGAGGAACACCGGUGGCGAAGGCGGGACUCUGGGCCGAUACUGACGCUGAGGAGCGAAAGCGUGGGGAGCGAACAGG